AACGAACGCUGGCGGCGUGGCUAAGACAUGCAAGUCGAACGGACCAGUAAUUUAUUAUUGGUUAGUGGCGUAAGGGUUAGUAAUGGAUAGGUAACGUACCCUUUGCUUCGGAACAGCGUCGUUCGCCUUCGGGCGAACUUCCGAAAGGGGCGGUAAUACCGAAAAUAUCACUUGCCGAUGGGCAAACGUUCAAAGAUUUAUCGUCAGAGAAGCGGCCUAUCUCUUAUCAGCUUGUUGGUGGGGUAAUGGCUCACCAAGGCUAAGACGGGUAGCGGGACUGAGAGAUUGUUCCGCAACAUCGGGACUGAGACACUGCCCGGACCUCCACGGAGGGCUGCAGUAACGAAUCUUGCGCAAUGGGCGAAAGCCUGACGCAGCGACGCCGCGUGCGGGAGGAAGUCCCUCGGGAUGUAAACCGCUGUCAGGGGUAAGAAAGUCCGCCUCGGCGGAUUGAUCUAACCCAGAGGAAGUCACGGCUAACUUCGUGCCAGCAGCCGCGGUAAGACGAAGGUGGCAAGCGUUGUUCGGUAUUACUGGGCUUAAAGAGUGUGUAGGCGGAGAGGUAAGCGUCCUGUGAAAGCCCCCGGCUCAACCGGGGAAUUGCGCGGCGAACUGCCUUUCUUGAGCCAAGUAGGGGUGCACGGAACUGUUGGUGGAGCGGUGGAAUGCGUAGAUAUCAACAGGAACGCCGGUGGAGAAAUCGGUGCACUGGGCUUGUGCUGACGCUGAGGCACGAAAGCGUGGGGAGCGAACGGGAUUAGAUACCCCGGUAGUCCACGCCGUAAACGAUGUCUACUAGGUUGUGGGUGUUCUGACGCAAUCACGGCCGAAGCAAAAGUGCUAAGUAGACCGCCUGGGGAGACGGCCGCAAGGCU
rnacentral:rRNA from 1 species